UAUACUGCAAGUCGAGCGGAAGAAGGGAGCUUGCUCCCGGAUGUUAGCGGCGGACGGGUGAGUAACACGUGGGUAACCUGCCUGUAAGACUGGGAUAACUCCGGGAAACCGGAGCUAAUACCGGAUAGUUCCUUGAACCGCAUGGUUCAAGGAUGAAAGACGGUUUCGGCUGUCACUUACAGAUGGACCCGCGGCGCAGUAGCUAGUUGGUGGGGUAAUGGCUCACCAAGGCGACGAUGCGUAGCCCACCUGAGAGGGUGAUCGGCCACACUGGGACUGAGACACGGCCCAGACUCCUACGGGAGGCAGCAGUAGGGAAUCUUCCGCAAUGGACGAAAGUCUGACAGAGCAACGCCGCGUGAGUGAUGAAGGUUUUCGGAUCGUAAAGCUCUGUUGAUAUGGAAGAACAAGUGCGAGAGUAACUGNCNNCACCUUUACGGUACCUAACCAGAAAGCCACGGCUAACUACGUGCCAGCAGCCGCGGUAAUACGUAGGUGGCAAGCGUUGUCCGGAAUUAUUGGGCGUAAAGGGCUCGCAGGCGGUUUCUUAAGUCUGAUGUGAAAGCCCCCGGCUCAACCGGGGAGGGUCAUUGGAAACUGGGAAACUUGAGUGCAGAAGAGGAGAGUGGAAUUCCACGUGUAGCGGUGAAAUGCGUAGAGAUGUGGAGGAACACCAGUGGCGAAGGCGACUCUCUGGUCUGUAACUGACGCUGAGGAGCGAAAGCGUGGGGAGCGAACAGGAUUAGAUACCCUGGUAGUCCACGCCGUAAACGAUGAGUGCUAAGUGUUAGGGGGUUUCCGCCCCUUAGUGCUGCAGCUAACGCAUUAAGCACUCCGCCUGGGGAGUACGGUCGCAAGACUGAAACUCAAA
rnacentral:rRNA from 1 species